ensembl:lncRNA
GCUGUGGAGAAGCAGGAGAGGUCAGGAAGAUCACAGAGCAGCAUUGUAUAAGAAUUUGGCAUAUUUGAGCUGAAAAAAGAGGGAGGGGGUGGAGAAUCCUCCAGUCAACAGAAUGCAUAGAAACAACCCUUUGGCUUGAUGUUGUCCUCAGUCAUUGUAUGGCACUGGGCUGCAACAACAAGGUAUUGGGGUCAUUGUAUGGCACUGGGGCUGCAACAACAAGGUAUUGGGGUCAUUGUAUGGCACUGGGGCUGCAACAACAAGGUAUUGGGAUCAUUGUAUGGCACUGGGACUGCAACAGCAAGGUAUUGGGGUCAUUGUAUGGCACUGGGGCUGCAACAGCAAGGUAUUGGGGUCAUUGUAUGGCACUGGGGCUGCAACAGCAAGGUAUUGGGGUCAUUGUAUGGCACUGGGGCUGCAACAGCAAGGUAUUGGGGUCAUUGUAUGGCACUAGGGCUGCAACAGCAAGGUAUUGGGGUCAUUGUAUGGCACUAGGGCUGCAACAACAAGGUAUUGGGGUCAUUGUAUGGCACUAGGGCUGCAACAGCAAGGUAUUGGGGUCAUUGUAUGGCACUAGGGCUGCAACAACAAGGUAUUGGGGUCAUUGUAUGGC